rnacentral:rRNA from 1 species
UACGGGGGGAGCAAACGUUGUUCGGAAUCACUGGGCGUAAAGGGCGUGUAGGCGGCUGGAUAAGUGGGAUGUUAAAUCCCCCGGCUCAACCGGGGACCUGCAUCUCAUACUGUUCAGCUCGAGCACAUCAGAGGAGACUGGAAUUCUCGGUGUAGCGGUGAAAUGCGUAGAUAUCGAGAGGAACACCUGCGGCGAAGGCGGGUUGCUGGGCUGACACUGACGCUGAGGCGCGAAAGCUAGGGGAGCGAACGGG